GUGGGGAAUCUUGCGCAAUGGGCGAAAGCCUGACGCAGCAACGCCGCGUGAGUGAUGAAGGUCUUCGGAUCGUAAAGCUCUGUCGGCGGGAACGAUGGGGUUAGUAGCUAACAUCUACUGGCCUUGACGGUACUCGCAAAGGAAGCACCGGCUAACUCUGUGCCAGCAGCCGCGGUAAGACAGAGGGUGCAAGCGUUGUUCGGAAUCAUUGGGCGUAAAGGGCGCGUAGGCGGCCAUGUAAGUCAGGUGUGAAAUCCCGGGGCUUAACCCCGGAAGUGCGCCUGAUACUGCGUGGCUUGAGUCCCGGAGAGGGUGGUGGAAUUCCCAGUGUAGAGGUGAAAUUCGUAGAUAUUGGGAGGAAUACCGGUGGCGAAGGCGACCACCUGGACGGAGACUGACGCUGAGGCGCGAAAGCGUGGGGAGCAAACAGGAUUAGAUACCCCAGUAGUCC
rnacentral:rRNA from 1 species